UCAUUUUGAAAAAUAAAAUAAAAUAUCAAAGGAACAGGAGGGGGACUGGUUUUCAGCGCCUUUCAUUAAAACCCACUUCACUCCUCUUCGUCUUCUUAUACUUCCGCUCCUUCAUCCAUCACUACUGCUUUUACAGAUAAGAAGCAAAUUCUUGUGAUACAUCUGAAGAUGGCAUCGAUUCAUGCUAAUCUGACAUCAGUCAUGUGCAAAAACUCCAACCAUUCUUCCCUUUCAAAGAUUUCCAAAACUGCUUUCUUGCCUGUUUUUGAUGUUUCUAUUGAAACUCCCAACUUAUGGAAGAAGGAAUCACUCUCUUCCUCUUCCACUUCCUCCAUCAUGGUGCCUCGAGCUACCUUGACCUUUGACCCUCCAUCAACCAACGUGCAGAAGACUAGUCAAAGAAAAAACACAAUUGACCCAUCUGCCCCUGACUUUCUUCCUCUUCCAUCGUUCGAACAAUGUUUCCCACAAAGCACAAAGGAAUACAAAGAAGUUAUCCAUGAAAACACCGGUAAUGUCCUCAAAGUUCCAUUUCGACGUGUCCACCUGGCAGGUGACGAACCACAUUUUGACACGUAUGACACCAGUGGCCCACAAAACAUAAACCCCCAAAUCGGACUCCCAAAACUACGCAAAAAUUGGAUUGAUUCCAGGGAGAAAUCAAGUCCACCAAGGUACACUCAAAUGUACUACGCGAAGCAGGGGAUCAUAACCGAAGAAAUGCUUUACUGUGCAACCCGGGAAAAUCUCGACCCUGAAUUCGUCCGAUCAGAAGUUGCACGUGGUCGCGCGAUCAUUCCUUCAAACAAAAAACAUCUGGAACUUGAACCGAUGAUUGUUGGAAGAAAUUUCUUGGUCAAAGUCAACGCAAACAUCGGAAACUCAGCUGUUGUUAGCUCAAUUGAAGAAGAAGUUCACAAGCUUCAAUGGGCAACAAUGUGGGGUGCGGAUACGAUCAUGGAUCUAUCCACGGGUCGCCAUAUCCAUGAAACCCGUGAAUGGAUCCUCCGUAACUCAUCUGUUCCAGUUGGGACUGUUCCUAUCUACCAAGCACUUGAGAAAGUCAACGGAAUUGCUGAGAAUUUGACUUGGGAGGUUUUUAGGGAGACUUUGAUUGAGCAAGCUGAACAGGGUGUUGACUAUUUUACUAUUCACGCGGGUGUUCUGUUAAGGUAUAUUCCGUUAACUGCUAAACGGAUGACUGGCAUUGUUUCACGAGGUGGGUCGAUUCAUGCAAAAUGGUGUUUGGCUUAUCAUAAGGAGAAUUUUGCUUAUGAACAUUGGGAGGACAUUCUUGAUAUUUGUAAUCAGUAUGAUAUUGCUUUGUCUAUUGGUGAUGGGUUGAGGCCUGGAUCCAUUUAUGAUGCUAAUGAUACUGCUCAGUUUGCUGAGUUAUUGACUCAAGGUGAGUUGACUCGAAAAGCUUGGGCGAAGGAUGUACAGGUGAUGAACGAAGGACCCGGACAUAUCCCAAUGCACAAAAUCCCUGAAAACAUGCAAAAACAAUUAGAAUGGUGCAACGAAGCCCCAUUCUACACACUCGGCCCAUUAACCACCGACAUCGCCCCAGGCUACGACCACAUCACCUCCGCCAUCGGCGCCGCCAACAUCGGAGCCCUAGGAACCGCCCUCCUCUGUUACGUCACCCCCAAAGAACACCUCGGUCUCCCCAAUCGCGACGAUGUGAAAACCGGCGUUAUCUCCUACAAAAUCGCCGCCCACGCUGCUGACCUAGCAAAAGGCCACCCACACGCUCAAGCUUGGGACGACGCUUUAAGCAAAGCGAGGUUUGAGUUCAGGUGGUUGGAUCAGUUUGCGUUGUCGUUGGACCCGAUGACUGCUACGGCGUUUCACGAUGAAACGAUGCCGUCUGAUGGUGCGAAAGUGGCCCAUUUUUGUUCCAUGUGUGGGCCCAAGUUUUGUUCGAUGAAGAUUACCGAGGAUGUGAGGAAGUAUGCGGAGGAACAUGGGUAUGGAAGCGCAGAAGAGGCUGUUCAGGAAGGGAUGGAUGCUAUGAGCGCUGAGUUUAACGCUGCUAAGAAGACUGUCAGUGGUGAACAACAUGGUGAGGCUGGUGGUGAAAUUUAUUUGCCUGAGUCCUACUUCAAAUCAUUGAAGAAAUGAAGAUUGAUAAGGGAGCAUGGGAAAAAAUGGAGAAUGGCCUUGGAUUUGAUUGUAUGGAUUCUGGAAGAUGGGCCUAGUGUGGAAUGAGGUUCAACUUCAAACGCUAGCAAAAAGCAUUUUCAGGCUGAGAAAGUCCCUUAGAACCUGAACAGGAUAAUGCCUGCGUAGGGAGAGUGCUUUUUUUUUUUUUUUUUUUUUUUUAUGUAGAGUUACACAAGGACGGGCAUCAUGCUCUCAUCUCUCGUGUUGCUGCCUGAGUAACCGGUUCCAUAUUACACUUGAGUUUACUUGAUGAAGCUGGUUGUUCUUGUCAACAUAUCUAUAUAUUCCUUUUAUAAAAUGCCUAGGAAAUAGACAUCUCUUACUGAA